AGAUUGAACGCUGGCGGCAUGCUUUACACAUGCAAGUCGAACGGUAACAGGCCGCAAGGUGCUGACGAGUGGCGAACGGGUGAGUAAUGCAUCGGAACGUGCCCAGUCGUGGGGGAUAACGCAGCGAAAGCUGUGCUAAUACCGCAUACGAUCUAUGGAUGAAAGCGGGGGACCGAAAGGCCUCGCGCGAUUGGAGCGGCCGAUGUCAGAUUAGCUAGUUGGGUGGGGUAAAGGCCCACCGAAGGCGACGAUCUGUAGCUGGUCUGAGACGGACGACCAGCCACACUGGAACUGAGACGACGGUCCAGACUCCGUACGGGAGGCAGCGAGGUAGGGGUAAUUUUGGAACUAAGU
rnacentral:rRNA from 1 species